GACGAACGCUGGCGGCGUGCUUAACACAUGCAAGUCGAACGGUAAGGCCCUUCGGGUACGACGAGUGGCGAACGGGUGGAGUAACACGUGGGUGGAUCUGCCCUGCACUUCGGGAUAAGCCUGGGAAACUGGGUCUAAUACCGGAUAGGACCAUGGACUUCACGGUUUGUGGUGGAAAGCUUUUGCGGUGUGGGAUGGGCCCGCGGCCUAUCAGCUUGUUGGUGGGGUAAUGGCCUACCAAGGCGACGACGGGUAGCCGGCCUGAGAGGGUGUCCGGCCACACUGGGACUGAGAUACGGCCCAGACUCCUACGGGAGGCAGCAGUGGGGAAUAUUGCACAAUGGGCGCAAGCCUGAUGCAGCGACGCCGCGUGAGGGAUGACGGCCUCGGUUGUAAC
rnacentral:rRNA from 1 species